GUAGAGGAAGAGGAGAGCUCACAAUUUUAUGGAAAUCCACAAGGUGGACCUUGGAGGUGAAGGUGUUGCAUCAUGAUCGGAACAUUUGAUUGUGUUAUUCAUUUAUUUGGUUGCCCCUUAGGACAUCGUUUCUUAUCCCGACCAUUUCAACACCUUGUUUUUGUUGCUCGGUGUAUAUUAUUUGAACUUUGGUUUGCAUCCAUGCCCACCGUUUAUCAUUAUAGUUUCCACCGGCUUUUUGUUCAUGGUGUUGUGCACCUACCUCCU
rnacentral:lncRNA from 1 species